UUACGGUCAUAUCACAUUGAAACACUGGUUGUUGUAUGUUCACGGAAGUUAAGCAAUAUUGAGCCUGGUCAGUACCUAGAUUGGUGAUCCCUUGGGAAUACCAUGUGUUGUAAG